AGGAGGUUAAACUGCCUGUUGUUGUUUUUGGAAUACUGAAGAACAGUUUUAACAGGUUAAACUCUUGCCACAAGGCAAAAUAGACAUUGAUGGGAAGAUCCUUUGGAAAGAAUGUGCAUCAUCGCCUGCCUGAUGUAUGGACUUUUAAACCUGGUUUUUAUCCUGCACAAGCUGGCAAACUUGAGGGGAUCAAGAGUGGGAAAACCUCGCCCUGUCCUUGACCAAGAAAGCUCGAUUUGUUGAGAGAUCAACUGGCAUAAGAGAUGCUCAAGAGGAGAAGGACACAAGCAGCAUCAAUGGUACAUGUCACUCCAGCGCCUGCUUUCCAGGUCUCUACCAGCUGCUUUCCAGGUCCCUCCACCAACCAAGAUCAGGUCUAGGUCCCUGCACUGGCUGCUUUCCAGGUCCCCUAGCGGUCAAGGUCUCUCCAGUAGCUGCUGUGCAGGUCCCAACACCGUAUGCCGUAGGUCCCUCCAUAAGCUGAAAUCCAGGUUCCUCAUUCCACUGCGGUUCAGGUACCUCCAACAGCUGAGAUCCAGGUCUCUGCAGCAGCUGCGGUCUAAAUACUCCACCCGCAGUGGUCCAUUGCGGUCAACCUUUUGCUUUAAAAUCUUCCAUAAAUGUCUAUUAUUGUAUAAUGUAUUGUAAAAAUAAUCUGUUUGUAUUAAUUUGCGGUGUACUAUUUUUGUCAUAUAAACAUAAUUUUUGUACACAUUGUGUUUUUUCCCUUUUAACCACAUGGGGCUUAUAAUGAACUGUUGUAAUUGCUUCACAAAAACCAUUUUUUCUAGAACAUAUCAGUCCAAAAUUAUUUUUUUUCACACUGCAAAAUCCCACAAAAGGCUCACAAAAAACCUACUUUCUAAAAAAAACUCACUAAAACACUGUUAAAACCCACAAAAAUCAACUUACCCAAACGCACAAAUUGCUUUUGUUUUUUUCACAGAUAAAAUACUGUUAAUAACUAGGUUUAAAGCGAGUUAAAAGCAUGUUUUCACUGUGAAAAAAACUAACAAAGGCGUGCUUUCAGCUCACUUUUCGCUCACUUAAAAACCGUGUUUAGCCUGCUUAUAGCUCACAUAAAAAACACACUUUUUACCCACUUAAAACCAACUCCACAGACAGAAGUUGGUCUAAGCAUGUUUAAAAAACCUCAAAAAACCAACUUGUAGAAAAUCAUACUCACUUUAAACCCACUUAAGAUGGUUAAAAAACCCACUUUGUUGGUUUAAAGCGAGUUAAACCAAGAUUUAACUCAGAAAAAACCAAGUCGGUAAGCUAAAAAACCCAG